UGACUAUGGGGGGCUGUACGCGAUAAGGACGCCAACGUUGGGGGUAUUUGGUACUUUACCCUACUUUUAAAGAAAGUAGAAAUAAAUAAUAAAAAUAAAAAUAAAAAAUGGUGAAAAGAAAAAUAUAAAGAAGUGUAAUAUUUUUGAAAAAAGCAAAAAUAAAUGAAAAAAUAAAAAUAAAAAAUGCUGAAAAGAAAAAAUAGAAUGCAUUUAAUGGAUUUCAAACUCCGAUCAUAAAUAAGGUGAGAGUAUCACUUAUACAUUGCACCAUAGUCUCAUUUUAUACACUUAUCUCACAGGAAAUCAACUAUUUAAUAGUGAAGGACGUUUUUUUCGUCCGCCAUGCGGGCGGAUAGAAUUGUUUGGCAUUUUUCCGAUGAUGGUCAUUACUCUGUUAAAACAGCAUAUAAGCUGGCCAGCUCCCUUACCCUUGACGAGACC
rnacentral:lncRNA from 1 species